AGACAGCACAUGGAAUGGAAAGAGGUUGGACCUCCAAGUUUCACAGUAUGCCAGCAGACAGCAGCAAUAUUCAGAGACAAUAUUCAGGAGGGCGUUUUUGAGGAAGAAGAUUUGCCAUUGGAAGUUACUGAAGGAAUAUUGUCUCCUGCUCCUGGCUAUGGCAAGUGGAAUUAGCAGAUUAAUCCUUUUCUUCCCUUCUCCCUGAAGAGGACAGUGAGAAGCCAGGACACCACCUUUAUCUGAAGGCUUAUGCUGAAACUUUGAACAAGCAGUCCACAAUUUUGAAGGAGAGGAUGAGGGCUUUUUGCCUUACUUGAGGAAUUUGAUCUUGAACUGAAGACCAUAGCCUUUAAAAACCUGGAGUGGUGAUGUCUGUCUUUCAGAAAUCUGUGCAGGUUUUCAAAGUGCCACAUCCAAGCCCUUCUGGAUCAUAGAAACAGAAUAUCUUGUGUUGGAAGGGGCCCUCAAGGAUGACUCCUGACUCUGAUGUGCGUGGAGCCAGGAAUUCCUUAUGGAGGAAAGAUGAAUGCAAAAGCUGAAGGGGCUUUGUUACCCUGCUAAUGAGGGCUUUUGGAUGCGUUGACCCUGUGUACAAGGAGACAGCUUGUGAUCUACCUACACGUGGUUCUGAAGGCCAGCAAGGAAGUUUCAUACUGCUGUCAAUGUGUGAUCCAGCAGAGGCUGCUCUUGCUGUCAGGACCACUCUACACACCAUCCUGCCCAUCCUGAGUGGGGCUCUGCAGCCCACAUCUCUGUGGAAAAAAGACGGACCUUGGCAGAUGUGUUCUUGGCCUUUCCCAGAGAGGACAUGAUGUACUGCAAGGAUAGAUGGGAGCUGCAGCCAGGCUGAGCCAUGGUGCAAGAUGCCUCCAAAGCCCUCUGUAAAUAGAGAUGUUUUGGCCAGUCUGGUAUUCAGGAUACCCCUGGAAUAUGGAGAUGUCUGAGAGGUGAUGCCUUAGUUGAGAAGCACCUCUCUAAUAUCAGGGCAUGAGUCUUUGUGGUAGUGCUGCCACUGUGCUGGUUUAAACAUGUGGGUGCGACAAGGUGUGCAAGGAGCAGACAGUGAGUUGAACAGGCUGCCACAGCCAGCAGGAGGAAACAGAGGAGCCUUGGGCCUUGCAAGCAGAGAUCAGAAACUGCUUGUCAAUAAAACCUGCACCUCUCAGUGCUAAGUGCAAGCUGAAUUCCUCCAUCUCUGGUAAGAUGAGCUGAGAGAAAACAGGAUGGGCACAAAUACAGGAGUGAGCUGAGGGGCAACAUGGGAGAGGAGGCUGUCUCCUUAGGGAAGGGUGACAGCAAUUCUUAAUCUUUGUACUGGACAACUUGACAACUUUAUACUGUUCUUUCCAGUUAAUAAAUGUAAGGAGUGUUUCCCAGGCAAUGUCUAUGCCCACUUAGCAGGUGUUGGACUGCUGCACCUGCUCUUUUUGAGAUUUACAUCCAUGGGGAAGCUGUCUGGAGAUGGGAAGGGUCAGUGCCGGAAAAAUGUUGAGACAGAGUUCACUUUUCGUAGAUUCUCCCUGGUCUAACAUGCUUGGUGAGCUUCCUUGAGAAAUCCUUUUCUUUUCUUUUCUAAGUGAGUACGAGAAGGCUGCCAAAUUUCCCCCUCAUAGUUUGCAUCUCCCCUCGUAACUCCCUGAGAUAAGUUUAGCUGGGAAACCAAACCGGUUGGGUUGGCUCUGGGGGGGAAGGCAACCCAUCUGGAGGCUUUGAUCUCCGCUGCAAUGCUUGGAAUGUGCAAGAGGCAGAAAAAAGAGAACUGGGCAAAUAUUUGAAGGCCCUCUGUGACAGCUCCCUUUAGCAAGCACUUCACCCAGGAGCCCUUUGGAGAGCUUUCAGCUGCAUUGUCUCUGGAGUGGCCCUUAAAUGGGCAGGGGAAGACAGCAAAGGCAAGACUGAAAGUAAGGGUGAGGCUUCUAAGGAAGCACAGUGUUUGCAUACUCCCCUCCACACUUCUGGAUAAGCUCUUGUACGAGGUUGUGACCCUUGCACCCAAAAAUCGUAUUUCAGACAAAUUUUUCCAGUUAAGAAAGCAGGAGUGUUUCCCAAGGCACGUGGGCAGCUCUGCUGCUCUUGAAGUCAGGAGUGGAGUUGAACAUUUCUGUGUGUUGGCACCUUGCAGUAGAUGCGAGAUCAUGUGCUCCACAGCUGCCCUCAGGAAAUGCAUCACUUCGGGCUCUUGCUCACCUGCUUUGCAGGAGCUUUGUGCAGGACAGCCAGACAGAUGGAAAAAUGGGCAAAAAUGACGAAAAUAUUCAUACAUAUUAAGGUUCCCAUUAAUUAUUGAAUUACCAAUUCACUUAUUGAAGAAUAAUUUUUAAUAGUUAUAGCAUCCAGAUUGCUGAUGAUAGAUUAACUGUGAUGGCAUAAUUUAGCAAAUAUUUUAAAAAUAAAACAUUUAACAAAUAACAUUUCCACCAUUUUUCCAUCUUAAAAAAAAGUGUGAAGGCCUCAUGAAUAUAUGCAGUCCUUUCUGAUCUUAAAGCAUGCUUUUGAAUAUUUUAUUAUUAUUAUGGAUUGCUUUAUUGCAGAUUUUAUCCUCAGGUUGUUUCCCAAUGAACUUCUACACUCCAAGGCAGAAAGAAACCUAUGUCAAAAUAAGCUUAUGGUAACAGCACUAUAAAUCCAUUGUGUAUUUGGAAAAAAUCACAUCCUCCCACCAGGAGUGUUCCUGAGCCCCUCGCAGAACUGCUGGAGAGUUUCUGGGAGCCCAAAGCAGGGCUCACAGCCUUCUCACUGAAAUCUCUCAUGCUGAAGAAACUGGGUUUGCCAUUCAUCACUGCAAUCUCAGCGAAUGACAUUCUCAAGGGUUUCUUCUUUUAGCCUUCUCUUUUAAUAGCGUUUUUUUUUACACUACCAGAGGUACUUUCUGUUCCCCAUUAAAUCUCCUGAAGUGUCAUUCUCCCCAGGGUGAAACAAGGAACCCAGUGGUGCUUCAGGAGGCUUCACAUGGUCCUUACUGACCUGCCAUGCAACAAGAUGUGUGGAUGUGGCACUUGGAGACAUGGUUUAGUGGUGGACCUGGCAGGGCUGGACUCAACGAUCCCAAGCGUCUCUGCCAAUCUAAAUGAUCCUGUGAUCCUAAGAUGACAUGAGACCUCUGGAAGGAGAAGAGGGAAGGCCAGGACUCCUGACUGAGAGCUGGUUGCAGGGGCCCUUCAGCAGAAGUGGAUGAGCUGAUACAGGCCUGGCUUUUCCUGGAAGCCUGCUCAGAAGGUGCAGCUGUGGAAGAGGAAACAUCUCCUUACCUUGUACAAGAUCUUUCUUAUGCUAUGGGGAUACAGACUUCUCUUCUGUUUCUCGUCAGCCUCAUAGGUGGGCAGAAAUGGUGUGGCGUGGCUUGAUGCUGUUGAGGGGACCGAGCCCAAACCAGCUUUUACAGAGACACCCCAGUGAGGCUUCCAGGAGGACUGGGAACUUGUGGAUACGAGCACUGUCUGAUUCAAUGCUACAUAGAGGGACAGAUGAGUGCAGAUAUUUCACGUGUAGACUUUCUCCUGCCCCUAUGAAUACUCUUGAUUUCCAUGCUGGCCUUAUGGCUCUGUGCUGACAUUUGUUCUGCCAGUCCCUGUGGAACCUGGCACUGUGUCCUGAACCACCCGCCCCUCAUCUCCGUGUAAUUAGUCUCAGAGCCGUGAGACAGGAACCUUUCCUGGCCAUGUUUGUGCAGGAGGCCAAGGGCAGUAUCAAACUCCGAAGGUAAGCAGUGAGGCAGGCACGUGAAUUCAGGCUGAAGGAUGAUUUGGGGCAGUGUGACUGAUGAAUGGGGGCUUAUUUCAGGGGGCUGCAGUACCUACGUGUCACACCAAAGAGACAAACCAUCCUUUGGGGUGCUGCUCUUCAAACCUCCAUUCUUGAUGACAAAAGGGAAUUUGGUGCCUGAAAACAAGUCCUCUGCAGUAAGCAUGCACAGGCUCAUCCCAGGCUAGCUGCAUCCCAGGCUGCAGGUAGUGUCCAUAUUCCCACUGUGAGUGCUCUCAUUAGCAGGACCUGUGGGCUCUGGAUCAGACCCUGGUGGGGAGGACAGAGUGAGGAAGAAGACAAGGGCCAGUUUCUUUCCAGCCUGUGGGAGAGGGGAAAACCCUGUGGUGGUGGGAAUGACAUUGACAGCCAGGGAUGUGGCACAUUUUGGCAGAGAUCAUGAAAUCAACUACUAUAAACCUGGCAUCUUAUCUGGGCCUCCCCAACAGUCCCACUCUCAGCAUAGUAUCCCCAUGUAUUUAAAGUCCUGUCCCUUUGGCUGAUACCUUGUUAAAUAUCGGCCUCCUGCAAUAAUAUUUUAUCUUGUAAUUGUAAUCCCAGAGCAUGCAAAAUAAAUACCAAGAUGAAUAUAGUGGAUUACCUUACCUUCAUCCUUCAGAGCAUUGAGUUAACCCCAGCCACUGAAUAAUUGCACCUUCAAAAUAGGUUUUGUUGGAAGAAGCAAGAGCGGAAGGACUCUGCAGCCAGCAGAGAUCAAGACUGGUUGCCUAUGUAAAACCAUUUCAAGCCUCUUGGCCUGAGACUACGUCAUUAGCUUGUGUCAGUGAUUAAUUUGAGAAGUAUAUAUUCAGUAACAGGCUAUUUCUUUUACAAAGUUUAGUCCAUAAUCUAUUUACUUGCCACUGCCAGCACAUCACACAGUAGCAUUGCAGCUAAUACUGAACAAAACCCUGAGCAGUGCAGCAUCCUCUUUUGACUUCUUCACUUGCCAUUUAUUUUUCUUACCAGGGUAAGGCCUGGAGAUCUUGAUCUCUUAGCAAACAUGUGCUGGUAAUUUUUCCUGCUUUGCCAGGCCUUGGUCCUCAGCCCACUGCUGAUGCUCAGUUGAGACAUGGUUUAAGCACCAUCCAGUCAGAACCACUGAGGAGCAGGAUGGCAGCUGAGGAAAAAAGGAACAGGGCUGGAGGCCACAAGUCAGCGAGAGGAAGGUAAAUGUUGAGGGUCAAAGUUGUUCAGUGAGAUGCAGAUCAGGAGAAAACUUGAGUGGAUAGACUGAAACUUUCUGGGUUACUGUUAGGCUGUCAGAACGCAAGUGUAGCUCACAUUUGUACCUGCCAGUUGUAUUUCCAGCUCAGGAGCAUGAGCUCUGCAACAGAAGUGGAUGCAUGGUCCAUUUUUAGUAGCAUUAGUAGCAUCUGGUUUUUUUUUUGGCGGGGGGGUGGGGAGCGAGGGCGGAUAAAAAUGUUUGAGGUGCCCAGGGUGUGUGAAUUCAAGAACUGCUUAUUCAGGGGAGAGCUGCAGGACUCGGCGGGCACAGCUUCCUGCAGGGGAUGCAAGAGGCUGAUGUCCAGCACCUGUAAACUGAAAACGCCCCAUUUGGUACAGGCACAGUUGAUAUGCCUGGGCCAGAGUUAUGUGCAUGAGCUGAACAGAAGAGCAACCCUCCCACCCUCUGUGGCACAGCCAAAGUAGGAUUUGGACCCUGUGGGUGUGGGGUGUGGGGGAAGGAGGGAUGAGAAAUGCCCUGGGGACCUCUUACCCAUUCUUAGUGCCAAGCUGAAGGGACAGGGAGACCAUUCUUCUUUAUUUCCCUCCAUCCCAGCUGUGUCUGCUGCCUACACACACUGAGCCAUCCUCAAGGGUCCUGGGGCAGCACCCAGCUCAGCUUUUCCAAGUGUCUGCAGCAGCAAACCUGCUGCCUUGCCAUCUAUCAAGGACACCUGCUCUGAGCAGCUUACCUAGGCUUAGAGCUGACUCGAUGUUACCAAUGGAAAUUUUUCCAUAUUAGGAAGGAAAACCAUCUCUUUCCAGUUUGUAUGAUGAAGUUGAAACAAGGAGAAUGCAAGAUGUCAUCAGCAGUUGAUGUGGUGAUGUGCUCUUCUGGGAUUUUCAUGUGAGUGUAAACCUGGUGUGAAGGUGGCAUCACUCAGCUCAGCGUGGACGCAGGGUGUAGCCAGGGCUGGGUAAUCAGCUCCCCCUCUGAUUCCAUGUCCCCGUGCGUCAGCGGUAAGUGGCUGCAGGGCAGGAAUCCAACCCACCUAUCUAUCCCAGUUCCAGCCGGACAGCGACUGAAGGGUGCGGGUGGCUGGAUCCCUGCAGCGCUCUGCCCCCGUGGAAAACAGGGUGCACCCCCAGCGAUGUCAGAGCUGUAGCGGGGGGGAACCCCGUGAUUUUUGGCAAGAGUUGGCUGUGCGGCCCCGCAAACGCUGGAUUUUGGCAGCAGCGGAGCCGUGAGGGGGCGGUGUUGGACCGCGGGAGCGGCAGCCUUGGCGGGGCAGCGCUGGCGGCACCCGGCCCCGGCGGGCUCCGCAGCGUUUUUGCUACAUUUUGGGGUGUUCAAGCCUUGGUAUUUUGCAACAGGGAUUAGUUGCAACAAACUCUCCUUUCCCUGCUGUCAUUCUCUUUUUUCUUUUUUUUUUCCUUUUUUUUUUUCCUUUUUUUUUUUCUUUUCUCGUUUCCUCUUUUCUUUUGAGGUCUUUCCCAGACCUUCCAGCAGUGUUCAUGGAACACCCCAGCGCUGGAAGGUGACUCUUUGUCAGCUGAACAUCUCUGGAAUCACAGGUGGGCAGGUGGCGCAGCCAAGAUCUCUGUGAUGCCCCACAACACGCCACAUGUUCCUGAGCUGACUCCCAGCCAAACCUCAGCAUCACGGCGACCUCUGCCACGUGCUUGCUGAGGUGGCUUUCUGGCUAUCAAGGCCAGGAGGAGAGGUUACGCCACAGGUUUUCCCUGGCUUGAAGAGAAUAAAAAGCCCCAUUGGUGACAGCAACCUAAACAGAUGCAAACUAUUGCACCUGCGUGAGUGUGGUAGUGAGCUGCCUUCACUUUAUCUGCUGCUGUUGGACAGAUGAACCCACACUACAAGAGAGUGCUUGCAGAUUAUUAUCUUUGUUCUGUGAAAAUUUGCAUAUCAGUAGAAGUGGCAUCUGGAGAUGGGAAAGCAGAGCUUCAGGAAAUUGGACAGGAGGCUGGCUGAAAGUAUACCAGAGCUCUACAGGGAUUUCUUGUGCUUUUUCAAGAAAGGAUUUGCUGUGUUCUAGAAUGUGUAAAUAUUGUUUGGGGCUUGUUUUGUUUUUUAUCUCAAAUGCUUGCCAAGGCAAUUGAACCGUACAAACAUAAUUAGCCAGGGGCUGAACAUUUAAUCUUAAAUUCUGAGUCUUCAUUAAGUCUUAAUUUAAACCUUAGGAGGGAAGCUUGCAACCAUUCCUGUUCAUAAGGAUGGAUGGAAUUUGUGGCAGAUUUUUAUGGCAGAAGAGGGAAACCACUCAAAUGGGGAAAGCUCAGAAAAUUGUGCUGAAGCCAGUAAGUAGUCAAGGGGUUGUGCCAUGGAUAAUGGGACAAGAUCUGGAUUCAAGUCACCUUUUGUGUGGUCAAAGCAGGUCAGGCUGGGCAGGGCUUUGGGCAACCUGAUCUGGUGGAAGGUGUCCGUGUCCAUGGGGUUGGGAUCAGAUGGGCUUUCAGGUCCCUUCCAACCCAAACCAUUCUGUGGCUAGGAAUUUAAGAAGGUGGUGUGGGAGAACUGGAAUGCUUGUGGGUUGAAAAAACAAGAGCUUUCCCCUUUGUAUGCGAGUUACACCAAAUCAGGAUGGGGUGUUCGGGGGUAGUUGUUUUUUUUCCAUGGGUGAUCUUUCCAUGGGUGAUCUUCCAAUGGCAUUGCUAUUUUUACCUGAAAAAGGGACAAUUUCUGAAUUUGGAUCAAUUUCAGUCUAUCAAGAUAAAAUAAACCGCUAGCGCCUUUUAUUUUUAUCUCAAUUUACUGAGAAAAAUUUCUACACUAGGCAUGAUAGGGAGAAAAAAACUGGAGGGAGAAAAAUUAAAUGAAACAAAUCCUUAUAUUCCCUUCUACAAGCACUUUUAUGAGCUGGGAAGUCAUGGAGAAAUGUGAAGGUGCUGUGAUUUCUCCUACACUUUCCUUUCCCCUUUUUCAGUUGUAAGAACUAUCAGGUGACAUCUUUGUGAGGAACAUGCCAGACCCUCUGCACAUGGAAUGAAGUCCAAAAAGCAGCAGAAUUAAUUCCUGUGACUUUUCAUGCCAAAUCUGUUCUCUUGUUCAGUGUUGUCAGGGGGGGUGAGACCUUUGUAAUAAUUUGAAGUAGCCUGAUUGCCAAAUAUCCAGAAAAGCAGUAACAGAGGUUAAAAAUAAAUGCGAAAAUCUAUUUGAAAUCUAAAUAACAAGAUUUAUAUAGUACCUAGUACUUGCUGAAAUUUUUUUUUUCUAGUGCAUGCUUUUAAAAAAAAAUAAAAACAAAAGUAGUGCAAGAAGAGAACAUUCACCUUGCAAAUGGCUGGAUUCCAGGAAAAAAAAAAAGGGCAAAAAAGGGAAAACUUGGGCGGAGAUUUGCAUGGCUGCCUGCAGACAAGGCGACCCGCUGGCCUCCUGCCUGCUCCUGGCCUGCCAGCGGAAGUUUUGCCCUUGGCUUGGCAGCAGCACCCUGAAAUCCUGCUCAGCUUCAGUGCCAUGGUCCCCGGUGGGCUCUGGCUCCGGGGAAGGCAGGAGGAGGUGUCCUGCAUGGAAAAGCACCCCCAUGGGAGCCACCUGCCAAGCAGUGCCCAGACCCCCAGAUACCACCUCAGCCCCAUCGCUUCCGCUUUUGCCACUUGGAUGAGGACAGGUGACUUCAAUAAGUUUAUAACAAGUUGGGUUCUAAAUCCUCUUCGGUGCAAUUUGCUAAGGUACUGAGUGCUUCCACUCACCUCGGCAGCUUCACAACUCCUACAGCUACAUGGAAAAUUUAGAAUUAAUAGAACUAUUUAACAUGGGAACAACGACCUGGAAGGAUCUGACUGGUGCAGUUCCUACAAAUCAACACAGUAUGAGCUUGUAAGCAAAUGGGCUGGUCCCCUGUGAGCUACCGAACAUCUUGUCCUGGGCACGUUAACGGCAAAGCUUGAAAUAAUGGUGACUUUUGGAAAUCAAUUUUGAUAACCAGACUCUAUUUGUAAGGUAUUUUGAGCUAAUAAAGCUACUGUGGUCCUGGGAGUGCCCUUUUCCUUGAGCACAAUGGGAAACUCUUCUUGUCAGGAUUGCUAUAGAAACAAUGAAUUAUCAGGCAAACGGGACCAUCCGGCAAAUUGUGCCAGACCGGGGAUGUGUGCUGAUAACGCAGCAGUGUUAAUUUGCUCUAUUUUGUUAUAAGCAGAGCUUGCAUUGCCUAUAGAAAUGUAAAGAGGCAGGUGAGCUGGAAUGUCUAUUAUUUAUAGACACAGUUUGUGCUGUAUAAAUGAAUUUUUCAUAGGAAGACUUUUUACAAAAAAAGGCUUCAGGAAACUGCUUCGUAAAUAAUUAUGACUGGGAGCUUCAAAUGUGCUUCGAAGAAUGGGUGGAUACCUUUUAGUCCCCCUUAAAAUUUUUCAGUUGUAACCUUGAACGUGUUGUAAAGAGUGGGGUGUUUUGACCAUGUGGGAGAUACCCCAACCCCAUUAUUUCCAGCCUUUAGCAAAAUAAUGCUGAACCGCAGCUUGUAUUGCCUUCUGUCAUCUUGCAAAACUGAGUCACCCAUAAGCAAAUGCAAAUAUUAUCAGUAUGUUGAUGUGCUUGUAUUGUAUGGCUUGAGAAGUCAGCACCAGACUGAAGCAUGAUCCAACGACGACAAGAAGAAGGAAGCAGGAAAUCCUCUUGGUAUCAAGUGGAUAACCCCUAUAUAUUCUUUACCACGUUUUGCUCAAUGCCACUUGGGAGGACGUUCCUCUAUUUUUAAAAAGAAGACAUGAAAUAUGGCAGGAAAUCAUUGACCUGAGAGGAGUUUGGCUUCAGAUGUGAGACACACCACCAGGAUCACGGAAAAGGUAGGGGAGAGGUGGGAAAGAAGGAUGAGUGAGAGAGGCCUAGGCAAGAGAAUGCUGUAUUUGGAUGUCAUAUAUGAGUUGGGGAGAAAACAAAAACGCCCCUGUAUUUGCAUGUGAGUGAUGGGAAAAAUACUGCAUCUUCUACUGGGCUCAAUGAGGGUGGUGAGGCACUGGCACACAUUUCCCAGAGAGGUGGUGGAU